rnacentral:lncRNA from 1 species
UCAUUUUUAUAUAGCUUUCCUAUACGUAAACUUAUUAGUUUCUGAGAUAUUUUUAGUUUUCUUCAUUUGCCGGGAAUACAUUCAAAUCUUAUAAAUAUAAAUAACUUACAUAACAAAUAAGUAUUAUGUAAUAAUAUAACAAAUAUUUUCAUUCAAUAAAUAACUAACAAAAAAAUAAUAAACCAUAACAAAAUUUAAUUAAUCUACCAAUUAAUGUGAUGUUAAGGAUAUAAGUCUAAAAUAAAUGUUGAAUAUGACCACUUUCAAGGUCUAUGCAAUUUUGUAACCGAUAUUCAAAUGACCGAGCCACAUUUCUAACAUUUUUGUAAGUCAAUAUUAUUAAAAGCUUCUUUUAUUCUAUUUUUCAUAUCAUCAAGCGUUGUUGGAUGCUUCUGGUAUACAAGGUUUUUUUUAUAGCCCCACUUGAAAAAAAUCAAUUUUGGAAGAACUGGAGCACCGUCGUAUAAAAACCUCAACCGUCGAAAAAUGUGGACCAAUCAAUCUCUAACAAUAUCACCUUAAACAUUUAUAGAUCACCUUGUUUGAGAGUUAACAAAGUAGGGAUUUCUUGAUGCAUAUUAAUGAAAUUUAAUAUGAAAAUUAUAUUAUUAAUAACUGCGGGUCACAAUCUGCAAUUAGGAAUGUGUUACUAAAAACUUCUUGGCUUAGAAUGCUGUUGAUAUAAUAAUC